GCACAAGCAGCGGAGCGUGUGGUUUAAUUCGAUGCUACACGAAGAACCUUACCUACCCUUGACAUGUCCGGAACUUGCCAGAGAUGGCUUGGUGCCCGAAAGGGAAUCGGAACACAGGUGCUGCAUGGCUGUCGUCAGCUCGUGUCGUGAGAUGUUGGGUUAAGUCCCGCAACGAGCGCAACCCUUAUCAUUAGUUGCUACGCAAGGGCACUCUAAUGAGACUGCCGGUGACAACCGGAGGAAGUGGGGAUGACGUCAAGUCCUCAUGGCCCUUAUGGGUAGGGCUUCACACGUCAUACAAUGGUCGGUACAGAGGGUUGCCAAGCCGCGAGGCGGAGCCAAUCCCACAAAGCCGAUCGUAGUCCGGAUUGUUCUCUGCAACUCGAGAGCAUGAAGUCGGAAUCGCUAGUAAUCGCAGGUCAGCAUACUGCGGUGAAUACGUUCCCGGGUCUU
rnacentral:rRNA from 1 species